rnacentral:tRNA from 1 species
GCGCCCGUAGUUCAGCUGGAUAGAACAUCGGCUUGCGGAGCCGGAGGUCAGAGGUUCGAAUCCUCUCGGGCGCACCA